CGGACGGGUGAGUAACACGUGGAUAACCUACCUAUAAGACUGGGAUAACUUCGGGAAACCGGAGCUAAUACCGGAUAAUAUAUUGAACCGCAUGGUUCAAUAGUGAAANACGGUUUUGCUGUCACUUAUAGAUGGAUCCGCGCUGCAUUAGCUAGUUGGUAAGGUAACGGCUUACCAAGGCAACGAUGCGUAGCCGACCUGAGAGGGUGAUCGGCCACACUGGAACUGAGACACGGUCCAGACUCCUACGGGAGGCAGCAGCC
rnacentral:rRNA from 1 species